UGUGAAUGCGUAGAAGUGAAACUACUUUAUUGAUUUUCAUUAUCCUAGUUGAAAGAAAAGUCAAAGAUAAACAAAGUAUGGUGAGUGACAGAUACAUUAGUGUGUGUGUGUGUGUGUGUGUGUGUGUGUGUGUGUUGCCUUCUCACUUCUAUCUUAUGAAACAAAGAUACCAGUACAGGAUCACAA